rnacentral:lncRNA from 1 species
UACCGAGGGCUGGCUUCAUUUAGAUUCCUAAUCAUUCCUCCAAACAGUGAAUAAACCUGGUAAAAGGACACGAAUUCUGAGGUACCAGGACCCCUGUGAAGAUACCCAUGGUUCAAUCAUCAGGACCUACAGAUCCUUCCAUGUUAAGGACAACACCAAUAAUACUGAGAAAGCAAACGGCAGAUUGGCAGUGUUAAAGGAUAACAACGUGCCAACAGAAUAUUAAGAAAGAAAACUUCUUUGCAAAAGUUGAUAGAGAGACUACAAAUAUCAGUCAAAUUACAAACAGACAACAGAGGACAGCAUUUGGAAACGACUUCCCGAGGCAAGCACUA